rnacentral:lncRNA from 1 species
GGCUUCCCAAGCAAUGAGAUUACAGUAAUGUGCUACCACGCCUGGCUAUUGCCCAAGUUUUAUGUUUUCUGUUUAGAUCUUAUAGUUAUUCUAGGUUGGCCCAUCAAAUACUGUAUUACCGUCAGCUCAGAGCAAUGAGUUGACUACAGGUUGGUACUAGUUCAACUCCCAGUACCAAAAAACAAAAUUAGUGGCCUACUCUAAAACCCACAUUUUUCUCACGUAAUCUUUCCCUUGCUGCCCGAUGCCUUUGGAUAAAAAUGCAGAUUAAUUGGACUAUCCCUGGAGGCCCUCCGUGGUGUGUGCCCAGAGGUUUUUACCACACUGAUUCAGAAAGCAUCCUUUCCACCCUUCUCCUUUCCUCAACCACCUUUACAACUUCUUGUUCCAGUCUUCUCUGUACUUCUCCUACAUGGUUUCUCCAUACAAUCUGUAUUCUGUCCCCUUCCUGCUUGUUUAGACCACAUUUCCAUUCAAGCAUUCCAAAGAAGACAAAUGGGAAUGGAACCUGGUGGACUCAGAAGUUAGAAGCUGCCCUAACUGAGGGGCCCCAGUGGGUCAAGGGAGCUGCCAUUGUUGGACAGUGACUGGAGGUGGUGGUGGUAUGAAGUAUCAAAAUAUCUGAAUCCCUUUCCAGGAGUUUUUAUUACACUGUCAUUAGAGGGGUAUCAAUGACAGUAUAAAGAAUGCACACCUCAAAAAUAAACCUAAAUGGAAAACCUUGCCCCAUCUUAAAUCUUGUUUGUGUUAAAAGUAGAGGACUUUACUCUUACAUACACAUAAAAUCUCAAAAGAUCUUUAAGAUACACUCUUUUUUUAUUUUGUGGUACAAUGAUAGAACCCAGAGCCCACUCACAUGCUACAUAGGCACUCUACCACUAGGCUACACCGCCAGCCAGAUAGCAUUUGUGUGUGUGUGUGUGUGUGUGUGUGUGUGUGUGUGUGGUGGUGGUGGUAUGGGAGGUUGUGGAGAUUGGUAAGUCCUUAAGUGGGCUUGAACUUGCAGUCCUCCUCCCUCAGUCUCCCAGAGUGCUGGGAUCACAGGUGUACAUCACUGCACAGCUCAGGUUAGCAUUCAGAUCUUACAUUUUUCCCUUACUCUCCACGGUUCCUAGCCUAACCACAUAGGCAUUUUAUAAAUAUGUAUAUGUUUACUAAGUAAUCUAGAGAUUUCUCCUCAUACCUCUGCUGACUCCUCUACUCCCUUCUGUCACCUACACCUGGAGACUUCAUUCACUUCUGUGUUCUUAGGAAGACCUUAACUAAUUAGAGUAGCUGUUGUUUUUCUCUCUUUUUUUAUUUCAUUAAUUUUUUUCAUGCUUAUAUAUUAAAUCUCUGGCAUCCUUGGUUAUUUUAGUGUGUAUGAUUCCAAAUUAAUGGUCUUGGAUUUUUUUUCCUUGAUGAAACCUUCAGUGUUUUUGAGGGGGAGGCUCUAGCCUUGCUAACUGUGCCUUGGAUUGCUAUGAUGCAGCAACAUAAUCCCAUCUACCAGGAACUCGGAAUCUUAAAAAUUGCCAAGAUAGUACAGAGAGUUCCCAUAUGCUCUCACAUCCAAACCUAAUAACCUAAAGGAUAUCACUUUGGUGACACAUGUGGAGGAAGGCAGGAGUACAGAAGAACCACACAUCCUACCAACAAUAACGCUGGCCCUCAGUGCUGUGUGAUCCAUGCAGAAGGCCUUGUGUGCCCCGCACAAAGAAAACAAUGACCAGACUACCAAAUCCUAGCCAGCUCUGCUCCUGCAUUCUCCUCAGCACAGAGUGGCAGAAGUGACAGCAAAAAGACUGACCUGAUUGAAAUAAGACCCACACCUAGAAGAGUUUCACUCUAGGACUGAAGUGUUACUGUACCACAGGGACUGGGUGAGAGACAUCCAGGGGAGGCAGCUUAGGAUAAGAGCUAAAGAGGGGUCUCUGGCAUCACCUGGUAGGCUUGGGCUGAGCCCAGGAGGAUCAUGGGACCUGUAUACUGUGGUGGGAGUUCAGGUUUGAUAGGUAUAAUCUUCAGAAGUGGUGGUCCUGAGGAGAUGACAUUUGGUCCAGGUGUACACUUGAGCCCUUGCACCACACCUAUAUCCAGCAGAAAUUAGUGGUCUGAAUUACUAUAGUUCAAUAUCUGGGUGGCCUAAGUGUCUUCACUAAAAUCAUAGACGUCUGCUCUGGUUAAGGGUAGUUGAAGACUUCUGGGAAGAUGGUGGAGUGGUGAACAGAGAAACAGUCUCUCCAAGAUUUGGUGUCCAGAUGCUGGAAUAUAUUACCAUGAGGAAGACAAGGAGGGAAGUGGGUGCCUGGGACUCAGCAAGGAUCUGAAGGGAGAAUUGCAGCCCAUAGGAAGAGUGAAGAGAGAUACUUAAACAAAAAAAGAAGGAGAUGGCAAACAGUGCUUCCUCCCUGAGCCCUGACUCACUGCAUGGGAAGGGUGGCUUAAACUUGCAUACACACAGUGACUACUGGCAACCCCAGAGGCCUCCAUGGAGAAAUGCACCAGUGGAAUGUAGCAGUGGAUGCAGCAGACUGCAGUGGCUGGAGAGUUAUUCGGGUUCAGAUGUCCCCCAAGAGAGGGUGAUUGACCAGUCACUGUCUUGGAGGGGCCACAUGCAGAAGAUUGAAUCUAGAUCCAUAUAUCUCACUAUGUACUAAACUGAAAUCAAAAUGGGUCAAAGACCUAAAUAUUAAAACAGAAACAAUCUUCUGGAAAAUAAAAUAGGUACAACUCUUGAAGACAUAGGCAUAGGCAAGGACUUUUGAACAGAUCCCCAGUGGCACAAGAAAUAAUACUGAGAAUCAACAAAUGGGGUCAUAUCAAAUUAAAAAGCUCCAGAGCAAAGGAAACCACCAAAAGAGUGAGGAGACAACCUACAGAAUGGGAAAAAUUAUUUGCCGGCUAUUCCUCAGACAAAAGACUAACAUUAUAAUAUAUAAACUCAAAAGGGCUGGGGAUUUAGCUCAGUGAUUCCACCACCUGCCUUGCAGGUGCAAGGUCCCAAGUUUGAUCUCCGGUACCAAAAAAAAAAGAACUCAAAAGUAUUAGACUCCCAAAAUUAAAGACCCAAUCAAAAGGGCAAAUGAAAUGAAUAGACACUAUGUAGAAGAAGGACAAGCAACCAAUAAGUAGAUUUUAAAAUGUUCAGUGUCUCUGACCAUUAGUGAAAUGCAAAUUGAAACUACACUGAGGUACCAUCUUACCCCAGAAAGAAUGGCUAUCAUCAAAAAAGUCAUAGCAAAUGCUGGUGAGGAUAUGGGAAAAAGGGAAUUCUACAUUGUUGGUGGGAAUAUAAACUAAUAUAAUCAGUAUGGAAAUCAGUGUGAAGAUUUCUCAGCUAUCCCCUUUAUAAGUAUCUUCCCAAAAGAUUUUAAAUUGUCAUAGGGAUACAUGCAUACCCAUGAUUGUAGCAGCACAGUUUAUAAUAGCUAAUUUCCGAAACAGGGUAUAGGUCCAUGAACAGAUGAAUGGAUAAGGAAAAUGUAUUUAUAUACCAUGAAGUACUACUGUGCCAUAAAGAAAGAUAAAUUUCAGGAAUUCAUAGGUAAAUGGAUGCAACUAGAGAACCUAAUGUUAAGUGAAAUAAAGUCAGACAAAGCAGUUUAAAUAUCACAUAGCCUCUCAUAUGAGAAACAGUAUAUGCAAAUGACAAAAUGGAAGAUAAAUAGGAUAUGGGGAGAGGUUCAGUGGUUCCCCAAAUUACCUAUCCCAUUGUUUCAAAAAUAUUUUAGGGCUGAGGAUUUAGCUCAGUGGCACUGUAUCUGCCUCACAAGCGCAAGGUCCUGAGUUUGAUUCCCGGUACCAAAAAAAAAAUUUUAAUGUAUAUGCAAAUUUGUUUCAUUUAUACUAGUAGUUUCUCUUCAUUUGUUGAAAAGAAAAUUUUGUACUAUCAGUUUGCUGCUUUUGUAAGAAUCUUUUGUAGAUGUCUUGUCCGCUGAGUAACUACUUUGAAGAUAAAUGCUACAUAGUGUAUUAACUAUUGCUAUUCUGUUACUUUGUUUUAUCAUAAAAGAAGAAUUUAUCAAUGAGUUAAAAAAUGAGUGGGCACCUGUAUAGUUAGUCCUCAAUAUCUGCACAUUCUGUAUUUACAAAUUCAAUCCUGUGGACUGAAAGUACUUUAUAAAAUAUAGUUCACCUGAGCUGAAUGUGUACAGGUUUCAUUUCUUCUCAUUAUACUGUGGACAAUACAGUGUAACAACUCUUUACAUAACAUUUGCAUUGCAAUAGGUAUUGUAAUUGAUUCAGUGAUGUUGCCUUGAUAUUGGUAAAUUUUGCUUCCCUCAUUUUUCUUCACCGUUGGUUGUUAAUUUUAUUAGUUUGUUCAGAAAAUAAAUUUUUAGUUUUCUUGAUAUUUCCAUUAUACAAAUUUCUUUGCACUGAUUUGUGCUCGUUGGUUUACAGUCUUUACUUGUUUAGUUUUCACUUUGUUUCAGAUUAGUUGUUUGAAUCAUUCAUUUUUAAUCUUUUUGUCAUAUGUCCAUUUAGGUUUUUUUUUUUUUUUUUUUGGUUUUUUGAGACAGGGUCUCACUGUGUAGUUCACCCUGGCCUUGAACUCAGUAUGAACCCCAGGGUAGACCUCAAACCCAUGGUGAUCAUCCUGCCUCGGCCUCAAAAGUGUUGGGAUUAUAGGCAUGGACUAUCACACCCAGCUUAGGUUACUUAUUUUCUUGUAAGCAUGAUUUAAUGUCUUUUAAUUAUCAGUGUUAUGGCUUGCACCUUGAUGUCUCCGCCAAAGUCUCAUGCAGUCAUAGGUGGAGCUUUUUCAGAGGUGGCUCCUUCUAGAGUAUAUGAUGUUGGAAUUAAGGGUGUGUGAUUACUAAAUUAGUCCAGUGAUUGGUUUGGCAUAGUUCUGGGUGUGGAUAAUGGGAAAGCCCACCCUGGGUGUGAGUGCUGCCUGCCCUCGGGGAGGGCACCCUGGAUGAAUAUAAUUUAAGUGAGAAAAAGAGGGCUCUUGUGGCCACUUGCUGCUUGCUUCCUUGCUACUUCUCUGCCUUCCCACCUUCCACCUGCCAUGAACUAUUUCUCCCAUGCUUCCUUGCCUUGGAGUCAGCUGACUGUGAACUGAAACCUCUACAAACUGUGAG